rnacentral:tRNA from 1 species
GGAGAAUUGGCAGAGCGGAAAUGCAGCUGUGCACUAUGCGUGUAUAGAUCAGUCGGGGGUUCAAAUCCUCCAUUCUCCG